AGCGACUUUAUUUUAGUUUCUGUACUUUCGGUUGAAGAAGGUGCACACGAGGGUGGCAGUGACUAACUCUGACGAGCAGAUGGAAGCUUUCGGCGCUUGCUGUGCAUGGCCAAAGAGGGCACUCGCGUUUGAGAGC